GGGGGGGGGUUGUUCUUUUGCUCCUUGGGUCCACACUGCGUUUAUGAGCUGUAAUAUUCACCGCAAAGGUCUGCAGCUUCACUACUAAGCCAACGAGACCACAAACCCACCAGGAGGAACGACAAUUCCAGACGCGUGGCUUUAACAGCUGUUAACACUCACCGCGAAGGUCUGUAGCUUCAUUUCUGAGUCAGCGAGACCACGAACCCACCAGAAAGAAGAAACUCCGAACACACCCGAACCUCAGAAGGAACAAAUUCCGGACACGCCGCCUUUAAGAACUGUAACACUCACCACAAGGGUCCGCGGCUUCAUUCUUGAAGUCAGUGAGACCAAGAACCCACUAAUUCCGGACACACUUUGACCAGCAGAGCAGGCAGAAGUAAAGCCACGGUUCACAGAAGUGGCUGCCCCGGCUGGACACAGGCUCAAUCUUGCUGGAAUCUGUCCUCUUACUCCCCUACCCCAGCCCAGUGCCCCACCAGCGUGCUCCACUCAGCAUCCUGAUUUUCCCUGGAAUGUGCCACUUUGCCACCAUUUCCCUUUCAACAGAUGGAAUAUAGCAAGUUCGCUUUCUGUAUCAA
rnacentral:lncRNA from 1 species